rnacentral:rRNA from 1 species
CUAGCCGUAAACGAUGGAUACUAGGUGUGGGUGUCGCAGGGCAUCCGUGCCGGAGUUAACGCGUUAAGUAUCCCGCCUGGGGACUACGGUCGCAAGACUGAAACUCAAAGGAAUUGACGGGGGCCCGCACAAGCGGUGGAGCACGUGGUUUAAUUCGAUGCAAACCGAAGAACCUUACCCGGGUUUGACAUGUAUGUGGUACAGAAGUGAAAGCGGAAGGAACUCAGCUUGCUGAGUAGCAUACACAGGUGC